rnacentral:rRNA from 1 species
GACGAACGCUGGCGGCGUGCUUAACACAUGCCAGUCGAACGGUGAAGCGCCUUCCUUUUUGGUGGGUGUGGAUGAGUGGCGAACGGGUGAGUAACACGUGAGUAACCUGCCCCCUUCUUCUGGAUAACCGCAUGAAAGUGUGGCUAAUACGGGAUAUUCUGGGUCUGUCGCAUGAUGGGUCUGGGAAAGAUAUUGUUUCGGUGGGGGAUGGGCUCGCGGCCUAUCAGCUUGUUGGUGGGGUGAUGGCCUACCAAGGCGGUGACGGGUAGCCGGCCUGAGAGGGUGGACGGUCACACUGGGACUGAGACACGGCCCAGACUCCUACGGGAGGCAGCAGUGGGGAAUAGUGCACAAUGGGCGCAAGCCUGAUGCAGCGACGCCGCGUGAGGGAUGGAGGCCUUCGGGUUGUGAACCUCUUUCGCCAGUGAAGCAGGACUGCCUCGUUUGUGGGUGGGUUGACGGUAGCUGGAGAAGAAGCGCCGGCUAACUACGUG